rnacentral:rRNA from 1 species
CAGAAACUCAAAGGAAGUUGACGGGGCCCGGCACAAGCGGUGGAGUAUGUGGUUUAAUUCGAUGCAACGCGAAGAACCUUACCUGGUCUUGACAUCCCGGAGACCCUUAGGAACUAGGGGUGCUUCCAUCUGGAAGAAUCUGGAGACAGGUGCUGCAUGGCUGUCGUCAGCUCGUGUCGUGAGAUGUUGGGUUAAGUCCCGCAACGAGCGCAACCCUUGCCUUUAGUUGCCAGCAGUUCGGCUGGGCACUCUAAAGGGACUGCCGGUGUUAAACCGGAGGAAGGUGGGGAUGACGUCAAGUCCUCAUGGCCUUUAUGACCAGGGCUACACACGUACUACAAUGGCCGAUACAAAGGGCAGCGACACUGCGAGGUGAAGCCAAUCCCGUAAAAUCGGUCUCAGUCCGGAUUGGAGUCUGCAACUCGACUCCAUGAAGUUGGAAUCGCUAGUAAUCGUGGAUCAGCAUGCCACGGUGAAUACGUUCCCGGGCCUU